CCUACGGGUGGCAGCAGUGAGGAAUAUUGGUCAAUGGACGAGAGUCUGAACCAGCCAAGUAGCGUGAAGGAUGACUGCCCUAUGUGUUGUCAACUUCUUUUAUAUGGGAAUAAAAUGUUCCACGUGUGGGAUUUUGUAUGUACCAUAUGAAUAAGGAUCGGCUAACUCUGUGCCAGCAGCCGCGGUCAUACGGAGGAUCCGAGCGUUAUCCGGAUUUAUUGGGUUUAAAGGGAGCGUAGGUGGAUUGUUAAGUCAGUUGUGAAUGUUUGCGGCUCAACCGUAAAAUUGCAGUUGAAACUGGCAGUCUUGAGUACAGUAGAGGUGGGCGGAAGUAGUGGUGGAGCGGUGAAAUGCUUAGAUAUCACGAAGAACUCCGAUUGCGAAGGCAGCUCACGGGACUGCAACUGACACUGAGGCUCGAAAGUGUGGGUAUCAAACAGGAUUAGAUACCCUAGUAGUC
rnacentral:rRNA from 1 species